CCAAGGAGUCUAGCAUGUGCGCGAGUCAUUGGGUUUCGCUAAACCUAAAGGCGAAAUGAAAGUGAAGGCAGCCUCGGGUUUGCCCAGGUAGGAUCCCGGUCCUCCAGACCUGGCGCACUACCGGCCCGUCGCUUCCGCAUCGCGGUGCGGCGGAGCCAGAGCGUACACGCUGGGACCCGAAAGAUGGUGAACUAUGCCUGAGUAGGACGAAGCCAGAGGAAACUCUGGUGGAAGUCCGCAGCGGUUCUGACGUGCAAAUCGAUCGUCGAACUUGGGUAUAGGGGCGAAAGACUAAUCGAACCAUCUA
rnacentral:rRNA from 1 species